GACAGCUUGCACAAAGUGUCUUGAAUCUCUCCCAAUACUCAUAUAAGCUCUCUCUACCAAGCUGCCUAAUCCCAGAUAUGUCUUUUCUAAUAACUGUGGUCCGGGAUGCUGGGAAAAAUUCCUCCAAGAACAACCUCUUCAGAUCAUCCCAGUGUUAAGUCCCUGGCAAGUGUACCAGAUCGUUAUCAAGUAAUAUAAACGGGUAAGUCCGAGUAUUGUUUUCCUAAUGGACUCUUAGGCCUUAACUUUCAUGUAACCUAAUCGCAUAAGACUUGAGAAGAGAAUAAAAUUUGGUGGUUAUAUGCAAAGAACAAAAAUAAACAUGCAAUGCAGUUGACUCAAUUGACUUUGAGAAACUAUGGAUGAAUGAUGUUGUUGGGGUUUACAAUUUCAUCUUAUCCACUCUCAUAUAUCUACUCUUCUUAUUUAAUUCACUUAUUUAUCUAAUUGCCAUGCAUACUUUCUUAAUUACCCUUAACCUAAUCCCUUGGUGAAAAGAGCCUAUUACUAAUUACCGGCUUGCUAUCCCUAACCUCCCCUAGUAACUAAUAAUGCAAUGCGAUCUGAAGCAAUUACAAUUGAUCGUCCUACCCCUAUCCCUAGGCGAUAUUGGCAUAAUCAAGGAAUUUCCCACCAGUUUAUGACAUUACCGUACGUCCCCAUAUCGAUAAAGACAAACAUCAUUUACUAAAUGAGUUAAACAAUAAAAGCAUUGAGCGCAGAUGAGAACCCAACAAUUGAUAAAUAAGUAUAUGACAAACAUAUGAAGUAAAUAAGAAUUUCAAUAUAUAUGAGAGUUUCAAAAGAUUACAUUGUUCCCCAACAACAAAGGGUUUAGUUCACCAU
rnacentral:lncRNA from 1 species